rnacentral:lncRNA from 1 species
CGUUGCAGCUGUGUUGGAGCCUGGAGUGGAGGGAGGUCAGUGCCAGAGCCCGCGGUGCUGGGGAUCCCGCUUGGGAGUGGAACUCAAGCACCCUCCCUUGAACCUGUGAAAUGAACAAAUAAAUUACUGAAGAAGAAAAAAAAAAGGUACUGGCAGUCAGUGAAGACCUCAGGCUAUGAAGACAGUCAUCAGCCCUUUGGCGAUUACAGCCAUGGCUCUGCUCUGUUAAAACCACAGCUGGGAUGAAGUUUCCUGAGGGGUGAUGAGUGUUUCCACCCCUGCCGUGGAACUUGAACCGUGGUGGUUGUUUCCAUGUGAACUGAAGACCCUCCACAUCCCGUCGAAACAGGUGGGUUCUGGGAGGCUGGAGAGCUCUGAGUCUGGGCACGACAUUAGGUUUGUGGCACCAGUGUAGGACAAGGUCACAAAACUGUCGACAGAUUUUCAAAGUGUUCAUGACCUCACAGCCUGUGAAGAAGCUAUGCGUAGCGUGACAUGUGCCUGCAGACCCAGCGCUAUGGGGGAUGGGGCGGGAAGAUCCUGAAAGCUUAUUGGCUGCCUGAGCAAGUCAGAACAGUGAGUUCUGUGAGGAACUGCCUCAAGGCAGUGAGGCAGAGUGCAAUAGAGGAAGACACCUGACAUCCUGCCCUGGCCUCUGCAGGCACGCACAUGGGCAUGCACAUCCUCACACUCACUUGCAUGCACUCUACAGACACACAGACACACAGACAAAAAAAAAACAACAUAUGGGAAGCACUGCAAUGGGUUGUCUACUGCCAGGUGCUGUGAUGUGUGCAGUUGAGCACAGUGGCACCCUCAGGCAUGGGCAAUGAGGCUGUGCUCUUCCAUGAUUUGUAGGCCGCAGUAGACCCCACUUCCCACUGUAAGAUGUGGAAAGAGAGAUACAUAAAAUUUAAUGCGUGUAUGAGCUUUCUAACACUGUUUAUUUUCCUUCUUGGGUCCCAAUCCUGGUUUGCCUAUUCUUGUCUCUACUGAAGCGCAUCUUCAAAUUCUCCACUCUGGGUACCACUCAAAAAGACUGAUGCUUUGCACCAGAUUCCUUCAUCUGCUUUUUAGUGGUCUACCAGCUUUUAGAAUCACAGUCCUCGGGUUGCAUGCCAAGUGAGAUGGAGUUCACUUAGGAUCCAUUUCACUAACUGCCUCUUAUACCAUCUCUCAAGCUGACCACCUCUCCCCUUGUAGAUUCUAGUCUGCUGUCUAUUGACUUGCUUUACUAGCCAGGACUUGUGUUUGAUGGUUAUCAGAGCCGUGGGGAACUAUUCGGUGUAGAAAUGAUGAGUGCCCUCUUGAAGUUGGCAGGUGCAGCAACGUGAUGGCAAGUCUAGGCAGGGCAGACAGGAAUCUACAAGGAGAAGAAUGGAUGGCUCAGGGGCUGAUAAAAAGAGGCAGGCAUC